AUUGAACGCUGGCGGCAGGCCUAACACAUGCAAGUCGAGCGAGCGGCGGACGGGUGAGUAAUGUAUGGGAAACUGCCUGAUGGAGGGGGAUAACUACUGGAAACGGUAGCUAAUACCGCAUACCAUCAGAUGUACCCAGAUGGGAUUAGCUAGUAGGUGGGGUAACGGCUCACCUAGGCGACGAUCCCUAGCUGGUCUGAGAGGAUGAACAGCCACACUGGAACUGAGACACGGCCCAGACUCCGACGGGAGGCAGCAGUGGGGAAUAUUGCACAAUGGGCGCAAGCCUGAUGCAGCCAUGCCGCGUGUAUGAAGAAGGCCUUCGGGUUGUAAAGUACUUUCAGCGGGGAGGCGUUACCCGCAGAAGAAGCACCGGCUAACUCCGUGCCAGCAGCCGCGGUAAUUC
rnacentral:rRNA from 1 species